rnacentral:rRNA from 1 species
AUGAAAAUCCUAGGAUGGAACUGCCGUGGUAUGCUCUCCAACACGGCAGUUCGAGAGCUUCUAGAACUACAGGAGCGUACAAGGGCGGAGUUAAUUUUCCUUUCCGAAUCCCAUUUGAAUAAGUGUAAAGCCGAUGAGCUUCGGCGUGUCCUAGGUUUUGAUUCUAUGUUUGUAGUGGAAAGUGAUGGUCGGGCCGGUGGCCUUGUUAUGUUUUAUCAUAAGUCGAAUAAAAUCGAGUUGAACUAUGUAUCGUCUUAUUUUAUUGAUGUUCUGUUUAUGUAUGAGGAUGUUGUAAAGUGGCGAUUCACGGGCUUUUAUGGUCAUCCGAAUUGGAAUGAGCGUCAUUUAUCUUGGGAUGAUAUUCGUAAUUUACAUAGUAAGGGCGACCACCCUUGGGUGGUUUUGGGGGAUUUUAAUGAAAUUUUAUAUUCCUUGGAAAAGGAGGGCGGUAAUGCGAGACCAAAUGGAAUGAUGAGGGACUUCCGUGAAUGCCUUAUGGACUGUGGGCUGGAAGACUUAGGUUACAUGGGCGAUCCUUUUACUUGGAGUAGAGGUGAAAUCCGAGAGCGUCUCGAUCGGGCAGUUUGCAAUGUAGGGUGGGCACAUAAAUUUCCUCGUGCGGCGGUGAUUAAUGAAGAACAUGUCCAUUCUGAUCAUCGGCCACUGGUCUUGGACACGGAUUAUUUGGAUGACAAUAUUUUCAGAUGA